AUUGGCAUAUCCUGGGGCUCUUGUUAAAGUACAGAUUCUGAUUCAUGUGCUUGGGGUAGGGCCUGAGAUUCUGCAUUUUCCACAUGCACCCAAGUGAGCUGGU
rnacentral:pre_miRNA from 1 species